GACGAACGCUGGCGGCGUGCUUAACACAUGCAAGUCGAACGGAAAGGCCCUGCUUUUGUGGGGUGCUCGAGUGGCGAACGGGUGAGUAACACGUGAGUAACCUGCCCUUGACUUUGGGAUAACUUCAGGAAACUGGGGCUAAUACCGGAUAGGAGCUCCUGCUGCAUGGUGGGGGUUGGAAAGUUUCGGCGGUUGGGGAUGGACUCGCGGCUUAUCAGCUUGUUGGUGGGGUAGUGGCUUACCAAGGCUUUGACGGGUAGCCGGCCUGAGAGGGUGACCGGCCACAUUGGGACUGAGGUACGGCCCAGACUGCUACGGGAGGCAGCAGGGGGGAAUAGUGCACAAUGGGCGGAAGCCUGAUGCAGCAACGCCGCGUGCGGGAUGACGGCCUUCGGGUUGUAAACCGCUUUCGCCUGUGACGAAGCGUGAGUGACGGUAAUGGGUAAAGAAGCACCGGCUAACUACGUG
rnacentral:rRNA from 1 species